GUCCGUCCCAUGACCUUUCCUCCACUGACUCAUCAGAGCAUCUGUUGUUGUCACCUCCCCAGUGUCCUGGGGACCAGCUUUAUCACAAGAAAAAAGACCUGUUCAAAGUCUCCAUUUUUAAAUGCCAGUCCUGGGCUGCCUGAAGAUGAUCCAGCCCAUGAAGAGAAAGCUGGCAGGAUAGAAGGACAGGAGCGACCAUCCAUCAAGGCACAUUGUCACCAGCCCAGCAGGCAGCAAGCCCCAAGUUGGAGGGGACAAGCUCUCACAAGCCCACAUUUUUGGGCCUGGUUCCUGUUUCAUGUGGCAGCAGGUUGGCCUCGACCCGGUGCCUGCCCCAACAGAGCAGGACACGGCAGCUUGAAAGGGACUGUCAGGAGAGGAACAGCUGAGAGCCACACCGACCCCGGCGCGUGUAUAAAUAGAGACAGAGCUGUUAUCCUGAUGAAAUGAGACCAGAUGUUUCUCCCAAAUCCCUCCUCUCUGCUAGUGAAAAUUAUAGUUUAGUUACAGCAGGGCAAAGCGGGCAGCAAAAUAUUUAAGACCAACUAAUGUUGGGAAGUCAAAGGGGCAAAAUGACUUACUGGGGUAGGGGUAUCAUGCCCUGUGAUGCUGCAGGGAUGGAUAGAGCAUGGUCAGAGUGGGAACCAGAGGAGUCCCUCACUGCUUUUGUUCUGUUUUUCUGCUUCCUACCCCAGUAUUAAUGGGCUGAGUUUUAAAGCCCAUGCUGUGGCCGCUUUUGUGAGGUAGAAAUUCAGAGUCAGCACAUGUAUCCUGGAGGCAGUUGGCACGAGAUGAAGGAGGGACGGCAGCAGCAGUUAAAACUGGGUCUUGGCUCUUUAAUAUUUAACUUUCUCCAGUGCUUGGGGUUUUUAUUAAUCAGUUUGUGCAUUAUCUGCCAUCCCCAUUCAAAGAGGGUUUUAGCACAGAGAUUUCAGUGCUUAAUCCCAGAGGCAGGGAGAGUGGAAGAGUCUCUCUGAAGGUUCCAGUGCUCAAUCUGGCCUCAAUUACACCAGCCUAAAUCAGCAAAGAGCAGCCACGACGGACUUUGCCGUGACUGCAUUGGGCUGAAGGUAACGAAGUUAGGGGUCAGUCCUGUAUCUCUCCAGGAGAUACCUCUGGUCCCUAAGGCUCCAGCCAUAAGGGAGUUCCCAGGAGGAGAACCCUGCUGUCAGACUGGCUCAGAAUAAACUUCUACCUUGGGCAACAACUGGGGCUUGGCUGUGGCCAGCUGCAGACGCUUAGGAAGGGAUAUCGGAAGAGAGAGAGUAUAAAGGGAUCCUUCCUCUGGCAUUUCCUCCCGGCUCCUAGCAAUCAGCAGUUGAGGGACUUCCUAAACGGAGGUUGCAUGAAUUUGUGUAAUCCCUUUUGGUUUUUUUUCUCAUUCAUUUAUACUUUUGGCCUCCAUGACAUCCUGUGACAAUAAGUUCCACAAUGUAAUUAUGUGUUGUGUGAAAAAGUACUUCCUUUUGUCUGCUUCAGACCUGGCUCCUGAACAUUUCUCUCCAUGUUCUUGUGUUAGAAGAAAAGGGAAAAAGAAUUCCAGGUCCAUACCAGACCGCUCUUGACCUCUUCAGACUCCUCUGUCUUUAUUUGGCCCCAAGGUUUUGUUCUUCCAAACUAGAGCCUCCUUGUUUUUCUAGUCUUUCCUCCUCACAUGGUAUCUAUCCCAUCACUUCCACUGUCCUUGCCGCCCUCCUCCAUGUCUCUUCUCAUUUUCUUAUUGCCUUUUUUCUUUUUGAGAUACGAUCACUGAAGUGAGACUUGCUCACUUCUGAAGACAUGAAUUCAUUCUCCUGGAAGAAGGUCAGCUCAAAAGCUUUCUUUUCUCAAGUCAUAUUGGUGUACUUUGAUUUCUUCUACAACACAUAAAGCAGUCUUGGGCUUAAUGAAAAUAUACACACGGCUCUCUUCAAAUACUUGGGUUUAACGUAUUCUGAGCAAACCCCCAGCCCUAAUUUAACUAUUGUCUGUAGGUUAAAAUGACAUCCACAAGUAGAUUAACUAAUGGGGCUGGUUUACAUGAAGGGAAUUUCAUGCAUGUGCUUAUAUUACUGCUCAUUUAUGCCUUCACAAAUGCCCUGAGCACUACUGGUGGAGAAGACCCCCAGCCAGAACAGCUGAACUGGUGAGCAUGAAACGUGGGAUUCUCUGAUUUCCAGGACAUCUUUAUUUAUAAAAGAUGUCUAUUUUUGCUCCUGUCAUGCCCGCAAAACCAGCCUUCCUCUUUUAGUUAUCCCUGCUCUUUAUUAUUGUUUAUGUUGUCUUGAACCCCGUGGAUAAAGGCCGGAGAAUGGAUUUUGUCUUCUGCUGCCAUGUGAAUUUCAGAAACCACACUAGCCAGUCCUUCCAGACCUUGCUGUUAGGAUGGCUUGAUCAUACUUGCAGAUACAACCAGUCCUCACUUGAUGAGAACCAGUUGCUGCUGUCUUGCGCCGCUCCUGCAUCAACAUCAUCCCAGGAUUGUGCAGCAGCUUUUUUUAAACUCCACUUUUGGCAGAAGCUUAGCAGCCACAUCCUUCCCUCGCAAUGCACCAGCUCCUCUCCUGCUUCUCCAGGCAGCUUCACCCCCCCUUUCCCCCCAUGUCCGCUUGUGUGAGUUUCCUGCAGCAGGGAAAGAGCUCAGCCUCAAGUGAGGGAUGGGGAUGUCUGUCUGGGAGGCUGGCAGCAAGAAGGGGGCUAUGGGGAGAGUAGGAGGGGAAAGCCUUGAGGAGUUUAUUGGAUUGUGGCCACUAAAUGAUAAGCUGGGAGAAUAUGUAUGUUUUAUAUUAUCAGGAGCAUUGGGAGUGAGCAGAGGCAGAGAGCAUGUAGGAGGAAAAAACUGCUUUUCCUACUGCUUUACAGUAUUAUUAUGGCAAUUUAUGCAGAUGUCUGAUCUGGAAAGAGUAUCCCACACACCCUCAACUCUCAGAACUUUAGAAAACCACGCUGCAGAACAUGUUUUAGGGUGGGAAGGAGAAAGGAAAUCUUACUGGGUGUCCCAGCUGUGCUGCUUCUGUGCAGAAUCACCCGUGUCCCAGUGGUGGAGGGUCAAAUCCUUGCCAGAUUUCAUCUUGGUUUAACUCUUCCUGGUCAAAAGGGUAGUUUUAAAAUUCUGUUUCCCCAAAGAAUUGAGGCUGACACCACUAAACUCACUGGAUCUUUCUUGCCCCUGGUCCUGUCUCUUACCUUCUACAACCUCAGGAAACAAUGAACUCACUGGUUUGUUUUAAACAAAGCAAACAGAGAGAUAAAGGUCCAAGAGCUAAACCUGGUGCAGUGAGAUCCUACAAGCCUCUUCACUGAGGGUGUCCACCCUCUGCCAGAUACCAGGUAUGAAUCUGUAGGAAACUGGACUACACCAGUUUUGCCAAACACGAAACAACCUAACAUUUGGAAGAAGGAGGUCUCUUCGUUUGCUAACUCAGCCUGGAAAUCACAGCAGGCUGCAUAUGCCCACCAUGGCAGAACUCAUCCCAUUCUCUCCCAGUUGGAUAGAGAAUGAACCAAUUGCAGGGCGAGAUUCAGAUCAAGCUCUCAGUCAAGCAUGAGACAGAAACUCACAGAAAUGAGGUUUCAUCAAUUAAUCAUGGGGCUGGCAGGACUUUUUUCCUCCAUUGAAACAGUUAAUGCAGCUUCCAUCGCAGACACAGCUAUGUGGUUAGAGGGCACUGUUCACUGCCACUUUGCAAGUCCUCAGCUCCCAAAAGGAGCUUUUGGGAACUCCUAAGACAAACCUUCAUGUUUGGGCAAUGCAUCGGGAUCUGACAAGCUGCGGAGCUUAGAGAGUUGUAGUCCUUCCUUUCUAAGUGAAGUUGCUGUUCUUCAGCCACAACUUCUGUGUAAACCCUCUUUAUUCUGCUCUGCUGCAAAACAAAACAAGAUGACAGAAAUGCGGUUAGAAGGUGUGGGAGCUGUUAUCUACUUUAAAGCAGCUUUAUGGCAGCAUAACUGCUACAGGUCCGCGCUAAAUCAACUGCUCUUUCAAUAAAGAAAAAAUUGUUAGUGCCUUUAAUUUGUGUACAGAGGUGAGCCCUUGGAAACAGCCUGUGCUAAUGGAGAUAAUCACUGGAUCUGAGUGCUUGGGUGAACCCAUGUAGCUCAUAUUGAUCACAGACGGGCGCAGACUCGGCCCAAGAGAUUACAGCGUUGGAACCCAAAGUAAGCUGAACCCCUCUGUCCACCUUCAAAUUCAACUCACAAUGCCACGAUUUAAAAGACACUGCAGGAUCCAUGCUUUUUUCACGGCUGUUCUAUUCUAGACUUUUAAAGAGCAUGUACCUUAAGCACUGGGAAAUUAACCAAAAUAGAAAGGUGAAAUACAAACCUGAAACAUGGUGUACUGGGGGAGGCCAGUAAACAGACAUUCAGGACAAACCAGCCCACAAAUCUCCUAAAUGAAAUGCACUUAAUCAAGCCAGUUGUCCUCUUUUCCCCGAAGCAUAUCUCAUAUACCUGAGAAACAGCCUGUGUGAGUACAUGAAAGAUUUAUCAGUCUCGGUCAGGCGUGCGAGCGCAGGUCUGAGCCUGGGGAACCCACGGCAGCCGCUGUUUGAGGCUAAACCCACCAGCCCCGCGUUGCUGCGGGAGAACGGGCCGCAGUGAGAGGCGUGCGGUCCCCGCCGGAUCACCCCGAUUUGUAUUCACUCCUUCGGGACGCCUCUCCCGAGCCGCGACUCCCCUUCCCGGCGGGGGGGGGGGGGGGGGGGGGGGGGGGGGGGGGGGGGGGGGGGGGGGGGGGGGGGGGGGGGGGGGGGGGGGGGGGGGGGGGGGGGGGGGGGGGGGGGGGGGGGGGGGGGGGGGGGG
rnacentral:lncRNA from 1 species